CGCAGAGCCUCCAUCUCCUUCAGCGCUGACUGGACUAACAGCUGUGGGGUCGCUGUCUCCGACCGGUUCGUCAGCCGCGCGAAAUUAAAGCCGAGCAGCCUCGGGAAGGCAGAGGGUCCGUCCAUGUGUUGCUGGUGGUUGUGGGUGUUGGCGCUGCUGCCUCUGCUGGCGACCGAACUCUCGUCGAUGCCUGAGGCGAAGCUCGGCCCGCCCGCCCCCCUCAACCGGAGCGCCUUGGCCGGCCCCCUCCCCGGCCACAACGCCACCGCCACCACCACCACCACCACCACCACCGCCUUCGACAGUAUCGCCUCCAUCCUGCGCCACUUCUCCACCCUCAAGAACCUGGUGCUGGUAGCCUGCGCCGGGGCUUUCCUCCUCAUUGUGGGCCUGCUGGUCAGAGUCAUCAGGUCUGGAAGAAAAAUCAAGAAAACGAGAAAGUAUGAUAUAAUUACGACUCCAGCAGAAAAGGUGGAAAUGACCCCGCUCAAAGAGGAUGAUGACGAUGAUGAAGAUGCAACAGUGUUUGAUGUAAAAUACAGCAGGUGAAGAUUUGUAUGAAAUGACUGUAUUACAUCGAUGGCCAAUCACACUGUGCCAACCACCAGUCGCAAUAACCUUCUGGAUGAAAAGUGGGUCUGACUUGUCAUCUGUGUAUCAGCUUUCCAUUCAGCUUCUUGCAUAUCACAGACAGAAGUGUAUAGCAAAAUUUAAAUUCUCUUUGUCCAGUUUAUCACCAGAGCAAUACUCUUGUCUGUCUCAUGUGGACUUUGUAGAAAGCUUUUUUUAAACUCUAUUUUAUUAUAGUAGUAUGUGUUUUGAAAUGCAUCGGAUUUUAUUUGUAUGUAUGACACUAGUUGUGUGUUUGUGCUCUGUCCAAAGACUGAGGUGAAAUGGAAUGUAGUUUAGCACUUAAAUGGGUUUGCAGGGUGAGGUUUAGUGUUAGGUCUUUGGUUUUAAAAUAAUAUACACACAAAGAUUGUGACAGCACGUGGUCACUUUUUAACAUGUCUGAUUCUUUAGCUGUCAAUAAUUUGACAUGAAAUCUUAAAUGUCACCAAGUAUCCAAAUUCAGAUUAACCAUUUUCUAUAUAAUACUGUGAGCAUUCCCAGGAAUAUUUGCAAUCCAAGCAUGAAUACUUUUGGGAUGGUGGAGCAAAUCAAUUGAUUAGCAGAUAGUUGGUAUGUAUUUUUUAGGAAAAUUGGCUCUACGUUGUCAAUGUGGACUAUUCAUAAUGAUCAAUGUUCAUGUUGGGCAGGACCUAAUCCUGUAGGUUAUUUGAGAAUUAGUAAUAUGACAUUUAUAAUUUAACACUUUUUGAGCAACUACAUUAACUUGCUUCUGCUUGCAGGAGACAAAUGCACAGUGAAAAUUUAAGCAUAGAGCAACAUAAAUGGCUGCGGUGAAAGCAGUUACUAAAAUAUGGAUCAAGGUGGUGCAGUGGUGUACACUGAAGUACGAUUUGGUUUGUUGGCUAUAACACUCAGUUUGAGCCUCUACUCCCAACAUUUCAUUCUAACUGGCUCCGUCAGUUGAUGCUGUUCAAACUACAACCAGAUUAGGCUCUGUAUACAGGAGUACAUAUAAUUAUGGUUUAAGCAAGGCUACUGUAAAAACUGAACGCUCGACAGGUCUUCAGUAUUUUUGCAUUGGGCAGAUUUCCUCUAACCACAAGCACCUCAAUUUCGGAGGGUACUUUGUUAGAUUCCAAGUUUUAAAAAAAAAAAUCAUGCUGUGCCCAGUUGAGCACUUUCUGGUUCAGGGCUGGGCUCCUGGAACUAUUCUUCACAGCAAAUAAUGCACUACGUUGUACCACAUUAUUGUUACUAGGUUUCUACAGUGUAUUUGUCCAUUACACUGCAUGCAAAUUUGCACUCAUAGCAAUACUUGUGCCAAUACCUUCCAUUAUUCAAUGAUCUUAAGCUCCUAAUACUGGCAUUACCAUUAAUUGACAUGCAACCAGUACCUCAUCUAAAUGUUCCAUUACUCGCCAAGUUCUUUGCAGGCUCAAUCCAUGAUUCAAAAAGGCAGUCUAAUUCAGAGUAGAAAUUUCUCAUGCCAAUCACUGUUUUACUGGAAUUUAAUGAAGGGAGGGAAGAGUGCAUCUAUGCAGUUGUGUGUAUUUCACACAUUCAUUGUUACAUUUUAAGUAACUCCUCGUGUGAGCACUGCAUUUUUAGCAAUUUCAAUUUGUUACUAGAAGUGGUUAACUCAACAGAAUGCAAGUGCUUUAAUACUUGAGGAGAGGACCAGUAUCACCAAAGAUUUUUAAAAAAAGACAAUCCCUCAUCAAUUGCGUGUGGAAGCCCAUAAUGAUCGACGCAGAGGAACUGGAGCAUUCUCAAACUUGCUUUUCCCUCAAAGAAUUAAAAGCCAGAUGGAUGCAGGACAUGAAUAUUUUAAGUUUUGUCUCUCUGAUUUGUGUCAUCAAGAAGAUUGAGAAUAUGUCCUCGUCCAUACCUCUUAACUGUCCUCUUUUAAUCCAAGUGGACUAAUUAUAAACAGUACAGUCAAGAAAAGCAGCAGAGCCCUGUGGUAGUGAGAAGCUGAUAACUUCUGCUGAUUUACAAUUUCUACCAAAAGCUAUAUUCCAGCCUUCAAGUGCUAACUCAAAUUGUAUCCUUUCAAGAUAUUGCAUGCUGAACUAAUUAGCCUGUCACAUCAGUUUAAGUUGCUGCUCUGUCAAUAACUAGUAAACCAAAAGAGCUCAAUAUCUUCACACCACCAUGGUAAAAUCCAGCAUUUGCGCUUCAAUGCAGGAUUGCUAAAUCUGCACUAGCAAAGGGGGUUCCACUAUUUAAUUAUGUAGAUUAUGUCACAAGGUGCUUGACAUUCUCAUUGCUAUCAAGUGUUUGUGCAUGGCUGUUCAGCAAGAAGAGGAUGGCACCUUGCUGAGAGUUAUUUUAAGAAUGGCCACUUGGAUGAGGUGUCAGAGGGUGAGGGCAGGGUUAGACUCUGCCAUGAUGUCCCUCACACUUGACCACUCUCCCAAUGCUCCUUGUCAAGGAAAGACUUGUAGUAUCUUUCACAACCCCAGGAUGGCGUAAAGCAAUUUACAGCCAGUCAGCUACUUUUUGGAAAUGUCACUGUUGUAAUGUAGUCUUGGCUUGGACCUGAUGAAUAACUGCUUAGAUGAGGGAGGUGCUGGCAUAGUGGUAAUGUCGCUGGACUGGUGGAAUUUGAAUUCAGUUAAAAAAAAUCUGGAAUUAAAAGUCUAAUGAUGACCAUGAAACCAUUGUUGAUUGUCGUAAAAACCCAUCUGGUUCGCUAAUGUCCUUUAGAGAAGGAAAUCUGCUGUCCUUACCUGGUCUGGCCUACAGACUCCAGAUCCACAACAAUGUGGUUGACUCUUUUUAUAAAAAAAAACCCUCUAAACAAGAGUAAUUGGGAGGCAGUGACACAUCCCUGAACAAAUAAAAAAAAGAUAUCAAUGGGAAACUGAUGUCCUUACCCCAAAAUGAGUCAACAUUUUUGCCGGGGGGCCGGUGGUGGAAGUUGAGGAAGGUAAAUAGGAACAUUUUAACUGGCAUGAAAACUGUCUUGCAAAAUAACAUUGAUUUAGUCGAUGACAAAGGAGUGGACUCAAAAUGGCCAAUAACCCUGGAAUCUUUCUAAUAAAGUGAGGUCCUGUUAUUCGUAACUUACGAAGUUAUCCUGAGAUUUUAUUUAACCCACAUCCAAAUCUAUACUAAUUAGAAGAUAUAAGUAUAUAUGUGUACAUUACCUUACCUGCAAAAAUGUGCCCCUACUUAGUGACAUUUUGUCCACUGGUCAAUGAAUUAGAACCAAUGGGGCAUAAAGGCAAGGUUAGCACUAGAAGAGUAAGGGCAGCCAUUAGUUUUUUAUGCUAAGGGUUUAAUUUAGUGUGGAGCAGCUUUAUCACGUGGGUAUGUGUAGUACAUGUGUACAUUACAUCAUAAAUUAUCAGUUACACAUUGGUUUAAAUUUUCCCUUUUAAGUGCCACUUUGUACCUUAUAUUGACAAUCAGCAUCACUUAUUAGUGAGUAUUGACAUUUUAGUCAAUAGUCUUUUAUAUCCAUUAUACAACCAACGUUUAAAGAGAACUUGGAAAUGAACAAGAAUUUCAUGUAUUUGAAACUAUCUUAAGUUAGUUGAUAAGGUCAAUUUUAUUGAUUUUUAUCAAAAUUUUAUUCUGUUACACUACUGGUUUUAUGUUUACAUCUUGUUUAUACAGAAGGAAUGAUUUUAAUAUCUAGAUUUAAGCCAAGUGCAUUUUGUUUUUAGAAAUUGUUUGUUUAGACAUUGUCAGAACAGUAAUUUGAACUUGUUUGCGGAGCGGAUUGCAAUAUUCACACUAAUGUUGUUUAAAUUCUUCAAUGUUCCUAGCCAAUACAAAAUGAGCUUGUUACUGACUUGAUGGGGCUGUUUCUUCUUGGACUUUUUAAAUAGGCACAAGGUUCCUCAGAAAUGAUUAAUUUUUGUUAAGGCACAAGACAGUGAAUGAUGUAAUUGUUAGGGGGUAAUUUAAACUUCCACAAAAUAGGAGUAAGAAGGGAAAUCAAAUAUUUUUUUCACCCAUAGGAUGGCAGAGUUGUAGGGCAACUUAGCAGGGAGGGACUUUGAAGCAGACAAUAUAACUGAAUUCAAAAGAGGAACCAUCACAUCUCAGAGUUGAGUGGGUGUAGUUGAUCUCUGAAAGUAGGGCAGAUUUGCUGGAUCCAAAGGCUUUUCAUUUCUACUCGUUACAUUUGUGGCAUGAUUGUACAGCUAAAGCUUUUCAAACAAUUCUCAACCAUUUUCUUAAUUUAAAGGCGUACGUGACAAUUUUUAGAAUGUUCAGGUGCAGUUGGAAUGCUAAUUUUGCACUAAUGUAAAAGGAGUUUGCAUGCAUUUCAUUACACGAGCAGUUGUGUUCAGAAAAUCACAAACUGAAAGCCCCAGAACUCCUUUUAUACUGGUGUAGCAUGGCCUUCCAAAUCAACAAAUAGUUCAUGCAUGUUGGCAAGUUACAAUCUUUCAGUGGCACUAACUGUGAUUUUUUUUUUUAAUACUACUCAUAUCAGAGCCAUUGUAAAGACAAACGUUCGCUUUUUUAAAUUUUUGGAUCAUUAAACUGGUUCAACAAACACACACAUCGUUUUGGCUGUUGCCACGUGCAAAAAUAUGCAUCUACUUAUAAAUAGUGACAGUUUGUCCACUGGUCUGUGAAUUGCGACCGAUGGGGCAUAAAUGCAAAGUUAGCACUAGAAGAGUAAGGGCAGCUGUUAGAAGUUUUUUUACACCAAGGGUUUAUUUCAGUGCGGAGCGAGCAGCUUUAUCACUAUUGGCUAUUGGAAGUUGUCAACCAGUAUGCUUGAAGAGGCAAUUAGAUAGUCACUUUCAGAAAGAUAUUUGUGUCUGGGGAAUGAGCAAGGAAAUGAAAUGAAAUUAGAAUAGAUUUUCUGUUCAUGAUGAAGGGGCAGCAAUUCAUUACAAACCAAAGAUCCUAAAGCAAGCUAGAUAAUUAAAAUCCUGCAGUUACUUUAAUCAUGUUUUUCUCACGUUCAGUGAGAGCAAAAUCUUUCAACUGUUAUUUUCCUCAAAAGAAUGAAUUUGAGCAGUUGGUUGUCUCCAUAUUUUCAUCCAUUCUGCCUUCUGGCGAUCGGUAGUUUCUUGUUCAAGGGUGGAAUUGAUUUAAAUUUUAAAAAUGCACAGGUAAAGCUUAAUUAAACAUCAAAAACUAUUUUCCUUUGAAUCUGAUAACAACGUGGGAAAUCCCAUGAUUAAAAGUUUGCAUUGUUCAUUCUGAAAAUGUGUGAAAUUUUGGCAGUCUAUUUGGAAAAAAAAAAUCAAUGUUUUAUCUUUGGGAAAACUCCUGCCUUGGUAAAAUUCAAUUGAGAUGCUCAAAAGAUGAUGGCCUUGAUAUGAAACUUUAAAAUACUAUUUGAAUCUCAUAUCAUUAGAAAUAAAUUGAAUAAUUGUAAUCAAUUUUCUAUAAAUUGGGUAGCCAUUUUUUAGUACACAGCAGACUCUCUCAAACGUGGUGUUGGUUAAGGGCAAUAGAAGAACUUGCUUUUUAAGUGUUUUGAGAUCGUUAAUGCCUACCAAAUUGCUGGAACAGGUUUAACACCUGUUUUGAAGGAUGGCACGUCCAACAAUACUUCAUUCUGUCAAUACUGUACUGGAGUUUUUCAGGUCCUAUAGUGGGAUCCAGUCAAAACUUGCCAACUCAUAGGCUGGUUUUUAAUUCAUGGCUUUUUUACUUUAAAUGUGGUUGAAAUUAAUGGCAAAUGUGCACUGCAAUGGUGUGCCAAGUUAUGUAGAAACGACAGUUGAUGAUUCAGUUAUUCUUGGUCUGAUAUUUUUUGGUUAGACGGGUGUAUAAUUCAGGAAACCAUCACCAUGCUAAUCCACAUGUACAUACCUUUUGUUCCUCUUUUUCAAGCAACUUAUAAAUUCUUUUAAAAGGGAAUUUCAGCGCAUUAUUUCAACAAAGGUUCCUGGAAGAAAGUUCCAUAUUCUACCAACCCUCUGCUUAAUUUUUUUCUUAGCCGCUAUACAGUUUCUGCCUUCUAGUUUCCAGUGGCUGACAUUGUGGUAAUAACUUCCACAGUUUACCUUAUCACAGCUCCUAAUCUUGAAGACCUCUAUCAGGAUGUCCUUGACCUUCUCAGCUCUUGUGAAAAAACCCUUGCUGUAAUCUUUCGUGCCUAGCAGAAUGUAUUUAAAUAGCUAUUUUGAAAACCACAAGAUAAGACAGACUCAAAACUUCGAGCUGUUCAGCCUUGAUUAGAGGGAAUGAAGCCAGGAUCUCAUUCAGAUACGUAAGAUAGGUAACUGUAUAAAACAGGCAAGGGGCCAUUAGUUGAAAUUGACGAAACUUAAAUAUCAGAAAAUUAUUCACCCUGAAUGAUCAACAAAUGGGCUAGCCUUACAAAUAUGAUAAUCGAGACAAAAUCUCAGGAAUAAUUUAAGGAACUAUUGUAAUGGGGAAAACUAGAUUCUCUCGGGAUGGAUGAAUUGAGAGAAUCUAAAUGAUUCAUCUUGCGAAAGGUACACAUAACCACCUUGAAUAAAAACAAGAAGCGCUGGGAAAAACUCAGCAGGCCUAGAGAGAGAAUCAAUUAACUCUUCUUGUCCAAUAUGGCUCUUCUUUCAAACUAAGGAUAUCAAGAUAGCCACUAGAGGGUGAUCUGCUCAUCAGCGGUCUUGAAUUAGGUUCACUGCAGUUAGAGCCACUGGCUCCACAGACUAAUCACACACUGCCAUGUGUAAAACUAACCUCAGAGGCAGCUUUAGUUUUUGGAUAGUAAUGGGACCAAGGGAAUAGGGAUAGAAUUUUUGAGGCUGUUUUAAUGAUUGAGACAAAAGUAUGCAUGGUAAGAGAUAGGCACUAAACAGGAUUCUCUCUCUCUAUUAAACCAAAGUGUCUUAGUUUCAGUAAACUGCUCUUUUGACUUUGGCUCCCAGCAUUAAUCCUUUUAGCAACUUUUUUGCUGUCACAUUUUAUGACUUCCUGCAUAAAUAGAUGACGUUGCACGAUAAAAACUUAUUACGAAGUAGUAUCUCAUCUCGUCUUCCUUCUGAUUUAUCGCUUUCUGGAUUUAUUAUUAAUAAUGAAAGGUCGAAACCUUCCUUGAACUGCUUAACCUUUUGGUCUUGGACCACACCAGAACAGAGAAGUGGUUAAAUUUCUCAUGAGAACAUCUGUUUCACUCUAAAGAAGAAUUCAAUUGCAUAUUUGUAAGAAUAUUCAAAUAUCAGCAUGUAGAAUGUUCCUAGGGGAAGUUAAUUUUGGGAAAGUUAUCAUAUCACUUAAAAUUUUGAAUACAGAAAGUGAGGGAGUUCAAAACUAGCAGCCAUAAAUAGUCAUCUCCAAAUAUAAGCGGUCACUUUUGCACAUUAAGGAAGUGUAAAACUGAAGAAAAAAAGUGGAAGGUACAGCACCAGUAACUGAUUUUAAACAACAUUGAAUAUGCAAGCCAGGCACCCUCACAAUUAUGGUGAUCUCUUCUUUGAGCUAGAAUGUUUCUGUGAAUAUACGAAUCAACCUAAAGCACUUUGCAUCCAUGUUAGUUCCUUUUGAUCUUCACUUACAUUUUGUGUGUUAUAAACAAAAUAUAUCUACAAAUGCCUAUGGUUGUAACCUGUCUCUCACUCAAGCUGACCAAACAUGCUACACUACUUGUUAACCACGUUCCACUGACUUAAGAAAUAUUAAUUGUAUUGAGACGCUUCUCAUUAUACCAAAUUAAUCAAGGGAUUGGGAGGACAGAAUUUAAAUAUUGUUUUGCACUUAGAAGUUGUGUUUUAACUUUUCACAUGGGUGACAUUCUGUUCUUUAAUAUCAAUUUGCUCAACAUGCCUACACUUUUCAAAAUUUUUAUUGUAAUGAUUAUAGGACACUGGCUGUUGAACUGCACUUAAUAUGCCACUAAUUUAUGGUCCAUUUUGGUUUGUUACACUGGAGCAUUGUUAUAUCAGAGUAAAUUUAAAUUGUAUUUGUCUCUUAUGGUUUCUGGAAUUACUCACACUGGAUAUUUUGGGUAGAUUUUUAACAUAAAUGUCUCUUUUUUUAAAAUGUGUAUGUAAAACAGAAACUGGAAUGUUAGCAAAUCUGUGAUUUGGUUAUCUUUUUUGUUGCAAUCAUGCUCUCUUAUUAAUAAAUCAUUUAUAUCUUUA